rnacentral:lncRNA from 1 species
GGGAUAAUGGUGAGGCCAACAAUACAACUGGUGGUGUGCGCAGUGAUGUGAUUUCUUACUCGGUUCUCACCAUAUUUUUCAUUUUUUUCAGAUGUAGCUAGGUUCGUUCACUUGAUGUUUUUCAAUGCAAACUUAUGGGGUAAAUUUCUAUUGUCUUCUCACGCAGUUCCACCCGAAGGGAACACUUCUCUGCAACCACAAGGUUCUCAUUCAAACGCGACAGAAGGCUAAACAGAGAACUACCGACGGAGGUUUCUUUUAAAGGAUCCCUAACAUAAGAAUUCGUUCCAUAAAUUCAUAAAUAAAAACACCAAGUGAAGCAUGAAACUACAUCAUUUCCACAACACAAUUUUCAUAUGGUUUUCCCUUUUGGAAGGCCCCGAAGGGAUUACAAAAAAGGAUACCUUAUUAUCAGGCGAUGAUCGCACUUUCGAUAUGGUGGCUAUUCUACAAGUGGUGGUGUUACUACUAGUAAGGAAAGUGAGAGUAGUAUGGAGGCUGCUCUUCUUGCUCGUAACUCUGGACUCCGCCUCUUCUGUGUGUGUUCUCCACAGCGUUGAGUCCUCCUUCUUUUAUAGUGUAGGAGGGAUGCUAGAUGCUCCCUUCUUUAUUCUUCCGCGUCAUACUUGGAGACUGAAGUACACCAUAGCUUGAUGCCUUAUGCAUUGCUGAAGUGCCCCAAAGUUUGCACAAUCAUGCCUUGCAUGACUCCCAUGCUAGACUAAUGUUUAUGUGCACACCGAGAACUUUGUCUGGACCGAGGACUUUGUUAUGGCUGAAAUCCUGGCUUCUCGUUGCAUGAUAAGAUAUAUUUAUCUUAUUUUAUUUUUAUUUUUUAUUGAGAGUCUUCCCCGCCAAUAUAUUUGAUAAUACAUUAUCAAUAUUCAGAUUCACUCCUAUUGGGAUAUUAUCAAUAUUCGGGGAGGUCUUUCGUGCCCGAGUAAUUGAUUGCAAAAUAAAUUCAGGUAUAUGGACUUCUAUUCAACAGGCUGCCCAUGCCCAACUAUCUCCAUGUGAUCGUCAUCAGACAAAUGGAAAUCAUAUUUUUUAUCACAUUAUUUCUUUAUUUCUUCAAUUUUUCAUCUAUUUCUUGUCUUAAUUCUUUUAAGAUUUCCUCUUUCAAUUCUUUCUUUAUUAUUUUUUGACAAUUCUUCAACUCUUUUAUCCAUUUCUUGAUCUAUGUAUUCAAUAUCUAGAGGGUUAAUUCCCUUUAGAAUUCAUUCUUGAUAUGUAUGAUAUUUUGGGGAUUCUUCCUUCUUUAUAUUGUUCGAGCUUGAUGCUUUCCCCUUUGUAGGAGUUGUUGAAGCGGGUAUAUUUUUAAGUAUGACUCUUCACUUCUAAUAUAUUCUUUAGCCUUUGGGUCAAUACAAUAAUUCCCUCCUAUUAUGUCACUUGCCCGCUUCAAGGCGUCAUUGAUAUUAUCAUAUCUUUUGAAUGUUAGUUAUUCGUUUCUUCGCUUUGCUGAAAACUUCUCUAUUUGAAUUUCUUCCCGUGGCAUGUAUAUUCCUGGCUUAUUUGCAUCAAACAUAAUAUACAAAGGUUCUUAUUUUUGUACAUAAAUUUUACUGUCUUUGGUAUAUUUUUGUAUAACAUAUUAAAAUAUUCUGCAAGACUACUGACAGUAGAUAACAUGUAUCCAUUUUCUUCUCUCUUCACUGUGUAUUGAUACCAAAGAUUAUCCUAUAAGCAUCCUUGGAUCUCAUCAAUACGGAUAUGGCGCUUCGGUUUGAAAUUGAAUGUAUUUGGUGGAAAUAUUUUUAAUUUAUUAUCAUCUCGAAAUAUAAAAUAUUCAAUUCGACCGCCGAGUGUUCCUCUCUUCAUUUCUGUAAGAUUUGUGAACGAGAAAAUAUGUCAGGUAAACUGUUAUCUUUUCCCUUAAUAUGCUCAAAUAUUACUUUAUAUCCAUUCUCAACUAUAGUAUCUUCAAAUAAUACCCAUCUUCUUGUGGAGUUUUCCGUACUAUUCAUUUUAUUGUAAUAUCGACAUAUAGCUUCACAGUCUGUCCUUACUGUGAAUUCUUUAAAUCCUAGAUAUAGCCUAAAGGAAUUUAUUGUACUACAAGGAUUGCCUAAGCAUAUAAUUUAUAGAAAGUCUCACUAACAGAAGUAGAUUUAGAUAUAGAGUAAAUGUGAAUGAUGUUAUUGGUAG